GCCGGGGUGGCCGAGCCUGGUCCAAGGCGUGGGCCUUGAGAGCCCAUCCCCGCAAGGGGGCCCGGGUUCAAAUCCCGGCCCCGGCGCCA
rnacentral:tRNA from 1 species